ensembl:lncRNA
UAUAUAUAUAUAUAUACACAUAUGUGUAUAUAUAUAUAUAUAUAUAUAUAUAUAUACACAUAUGUGUGUGUGUGUGUAUGAAGACAGUGUUUUUAUUUGUGUGGGUGGUUUUAUGAAGAGCUCUGCCCUUCAAUUUACUUUGAUUACGAAUGAAAUACUUUUUUAUUUUAAACUUUUGAUAUUUUAAGACAAUGGCUGGCCCCUUGAAGACACCCCAAAAUGCGCCAUAGUGUGAACAUUAAAUCCAACAUUUAGCAGAUUUUGUUGCUUUUUAUUAAUUGGUAAGAUGUUAUUAUUUCGGCACCUUACAGAGGAUUUUAAAGAGGUGACUGCUUUUUUUUAUUUUAUUUUUUUUCAAUGGCACAUUAGAAUAAAAUGUGCUUUUGUGUGAGAUGAUUAUCAACAUCUAUAUAGUGAAUUUAUAAGCUCAUGUUAAACAAUGUUGUAAAUACUGUCUUGUCAGUGGAGUAAAUUUGUGUGUGGAAUGUACACUUUAUUUCAUUAGAAGUGUAGCGUCAAAACAUUGGCACUCCUCAAUCCAACGUCACAUUGUCAUGACACAUCAAAACCCGUUGUGACAUUAUUAUUGUAUGGCUGAAUAUGAUGCCUCCAUGAGUGUCAAAGCGCACCCUACAAGGCAAACUAUUCCAGUGCUGGCCUAAUGUUGCCAGACGAUCUAAAUCACCAGCCACAGUGACUACGAGAGGCUGGAGUCUGCGGUUUUCAAGUUGGGCUACAAGCUGAUGAGCAAUGAGCGGCCAAAACCCUACACCUACUGCUUUGGCAACAUGCGUCCUUUGCUUGUGCACACCUUUCUUUUUGGCUAAUUAAUUGUAACCUCCCUACGUUGAAGGCCUACAAUAGAGUUUUUAAUGAUUUUGUUGACGAAUCCUGGCCAAAUCCUAGCCUUAAGUGUAUAGUUGGAAUGUUGAGACUGGCUGGCAAGUCCUUUAAUGCAGACUUAAUGUUUCUCAUGUAAUAUUCCUGGAAUUAGUCCUUUUUUAAUUGUAACUGUGGACACCUUGUUAUGAUGUAUCUUUCUCCAUGUUCUGUCCUCUAAACAAUUUAGGCUUACUAUGUAUAUGCCCAAAUGUCAUUCCUCAGUCUCAUCCUGCACCUGGACACCCCCCCCCCCCCCGUUUGUCAACAACAGAUCACUUGGCUAGGUACGGAAGCCAGUGUGUGUUCACAGUUAUAUGUCCUGUUUCAGGAAACGAGAUGUAGUAUGCUGUUUCACACUAUUUUGGGGGUUUUACCAACCAUAAAACCACGCGGCAUCUCUCAACAGAUACUACACGUUCCGGAGGUUUUGAACGAGCCUUCUCCAUCGAGCACAGUACUGUCAAUGUGUGACAAGACAGCGAGCCACUUUGGAUGUCUUCUUUCCUUGCCAUUAGAACAAUGUCUCCAUAUCACUUAAGCGGAGGGCGUAAUUUUAGCUCUUCCCCUUAACCCGGAAGUGCUAAAAUCAAGCCCUCUACUGCUAUAACCUCUAUACACAGUGUAUACCUGAUGCUUUAGGCUCCUCAGCUAGAUUCCUUCCCCCUUUGUCUGUGGAGGUACAAAGUAAGAUGUGACUGUGCCCCUUUAGACGCCAAUGCCUCCUGAUUGUUCCAGGCCGUUUUAAACAGUAAUGCACCUUAGCCUCCGGCAAGGCUCUGUCGCCAUGCGCAUUCGCAUCAACAGGUAUUUCUGAAAGCUGUGAUCCUGUACAAUCCUUCAACUCUGUAAAUGUUGUUAAAUACCUGUUGCCCUGGGAUUUUUUUUCUCCCAAAGGCCCGGGAUUGCAUUGUUUGGUUUGUUCAAGUGAUCUCUUCGGCCCUGAGCGUGUCUUACGCCCUAGGUUGGGAUUGGUAACGUUAACACAAUGUUGUUUGUAAUACAACUGUAGGUGG